GGAGAACCCCAAAUUACCAGAACGGAUCAAAGAGACCACAAAGUUGUUCAUAUGAUAAUUGCUAUCGAAUUAAAAUGUACUUGUACUAGAUAGUUAAGGUUAAAACAUCAAUGUUAUCUGAAUGCCACUUCAAAAACACCUAAAAGGUUCAAUAUUUAGACCAAUAAACACCAAUGGAGCACAAAAAAAGAAUACUAAACUCAUUUGUCCGUAUCUUUCCCACAAAAAACAGGAACAAUUAAGAAACUACUGUCCUGUUAUCAUUUAAACUUGACAAAACGUAGCAGGCUGGUAAUCUAGCAAACUACAAGGCCAGUUCUUAGCUUUUAUAUAGAAAACAACAACACUUACAAACUAUUUCCCUAUUAUCAUUCAAACUGACACAGUAUUCCCAAAGGAUGACAAUCCAGAAAACUUGAAGAAAAAUCCUUAGCUUUUGCACAGAAAACAGAAACAUUUACAAACUCUUGUUCUAUUACCAUUCAAACUUAACAAUAUUUAGCAGGUUGAUAAUCCAAACAAGCUACAAAGUACACUCCAUAGCUCUUGCAUAGAAACCAUCAACAUUUACAAACCAUUUUCCUAUUAACAGCAUCAUGAUACCAAAACUACAAAGAAGAGCACUUUAACGGGAUAAUACCUGAAUGGUGAGCUCCAGGUGCAGGAUAGCCAGCAGGAGGAUAACCACCGGGUGCAGCAGGGUAUGCACCAGGAGGAUAUCCAGCAGGCGGAUAGCCUCCAGCUGGAGGAUACCCUUGUGGUGGGUAACCUUGUGGAGGAUACCCUCCUUGAGCAGGUGGGUAAUGAUGUCCUCCUCCUGGAAAACCAUGAAACCCUUUGUCAUGCUCAUCAUGAUGCUUGUCUUUACCACCUCCCAUUGUUUUUCACUUAAAACCUGCAAGAUUUAGAUACAUCAUCACCAUGGUCAAAGAUCAAGCAAACUUAACAUUUGACUUGGUCGUUUCAAAACAAAUCUGAGACAUAAUUCUCACUGAUCACAACAAUCAUACACGUUAAAGAUAUAACACAAAAAAUGGAUCCACAUACAAAAAUAUCAGAGACCAUAUUCAGCAAUUCGAUCAUACGAAUCCAGAGAAAUAGAGAAAAACAAAGCACAUAACUACAUAUGCUUCGAUCGAUCACGGUUAAUACGUAAGAUUCAAAGAUAAAAGUGCG
rnacentral:lncRNA from 1 species